UCAAGGAGAGGGCGAAGCCUAAGGAGGGCUCCACCUGACCUUCGGGCAUUUUCGAGCGACGUGUGGGCGCCAUCCUGGACAGGCGCCAUCUGCUGCGCCAACCUGAAAGGCCCGGCCUGCCUGCUGCACCCGAAUGUCGGGCUGGGGAAGAGGCGCCGGGCCAGAAAGCCAAGGGGGCAGCGGCGCUUCGUGGAGGAAAGAGAACACGGUCGGCAUUUGCCUGGCCCGUUCUUCUUCUCGCUUCACUUCGGGACGGCGCACGACUGCGAAGGUCACCAUUUCACAGAUGGAGAGACGGAGGCUGAACACGAGGCCGAGGGGCCUGCCCUCAGGUGGCGCGGGUCGGCGCCCUCCUCAGUGGCACACUCAGAGGCCGUGCGCUCCCCGGGGGCGCUCCGGCCGCAGCGCGGGCACUGGGCGCGCCGCACAAGCCCGCGCUGCUUCAAAGGCCGGUUUGGUGGCCCGGAACCCCGAGAGGCACAGCGAGGCCGGGGCAGCUGCCAGCCGCGGGUGCUGAGGGGGUCCGCCCCGCCCCGGGCCGCCCUGCGGCCGGGCAGCGAGCAGGCCACAUACCGCGCGGCGCAGAGGAAAUGGCUGGGAUUCCUCUCGCGGCGCCGCGCUCGGGCUCCGGCGUGGGGCUCGGGCUGCGCGGGCGGGGCGUCCUCGGCCGCUGGGAGGGGCGUCCGGGGGACCCGUGCGGCGCUGUGGAGGGCGCGCCCCUGGUGGCCCAGGGCUGGCGAGCGUGGUCCGGGCUGCCAGUCCCGGGCUCUGGCCCUGUGCCCUCUCGCCUGUGAGCCCUGUAGCGCUCUCGCCACUCACUGCCGGCAUCUGGACUCCAGCGCCGGCUGCGUAAAAACCUCGAAGGACUGCUGCCCCAGCCCGGCCUGGCUUCCUACACCUCGUGCCCGUCGCCGGGGCGCUGGGCGGCCUUGCAGCCCCUGCCUCAGGCUGGCUCCCGCGCCGGUGCUCAGCACGGUGGGCCUCGGUAGGACCCAGCCUCGGCCAAUGAUGUCCCCACACCUAUUCUAG
rnacentral:lncRNA from 1 species